GCUCCUGUAGCCCAAUUGGCAGUAGGCGGCAGAUUUAAAAUCUGUUCAUUGUGUGGGUUCGACUCCCAUCAGGAGCA
rnacentral:tRNA from 6 species